UACCAAGUUGUUAAGAGCGUACGGUGGAUGCCUUGGCGCUAGGAGCCGACGAAGGACGCGGUAGGCUGCGAAAAGCCCCGGGAAGGAGCCAAACAUCCAUUGAUCCGGGGAUGUCCGAAUGGGGAAACCCACCAGUGGUCAUGCGCUGGUACCCAGGUCUGAAUACAUAGGGCCUGUGGAGGGAACCGGGGGAACUGAAACAUCUCAGUACCCUGAGGAAGAGAAAGCAAAUAGCGAGUCCCUGAGUAGCGGCGAGCGAAACGGGAUCAGCCCAAACCUUUGUGGUGUUAAAGCUUGGCGGCGUUGCCACAUCGGGGUUGUGGGACCCAUCUGAUCGGGCGCCAGACCGAUCGGGGAGUUACAAAGUCAGCGGUUAGACGAACUUUCUGGACAGUUAGGCCAAAGAAGGUAAUAGCCCUGUAGUCGAAAACCGACUGACCUCCCGAUGGAGUUCCCAAGUAGUACGGAGCCCGAGGAAUUCCGUGCGAAUCUGCGAGGCCCACCUCGUAAGGCUAACUACUCCCUAGCGACCGAUAGUGAACCAGUACCGUGAGGGAAAGGUGAAAAGUACCCCGGGAGGGGAGUGAAAUAGUACCUGAAACCGUGCGCUUACAAGCAGUCGGAGGAUUCGUGUUUGGGUCAAACCAAGCAGAUCUGACGGCGUGCCUUUUGAAGAAUGAGCCGGCGAGUUAGUGGUGCGUGGCAAGGUUAAGGAGAGAUCCGGAGCCGUAGCGAAAGCGAGUCUGAAUAGGGCGAAUCAGUCGCGUGCUCUAGACCCGAAGCCGGGUGAUCUAUCCAUGGGCAGGGUGAAGCGGAGGUAAGACUCCGUGGAGGCCCGAACCCACCAGGGUUGAAAACCUGGGGGAUGACCUGUGGAUAGGGGUGAAAGGCCAAUCAAACCCGGUGAUAGCUGGUUCUCCCCGAAAUGCAUUUAGGUGCAGCGUCAGGUGUUC
rnacentral:rRNA from 1 species